CAGCGUUGGUGCUAGGAAAGUUAACCUUGCAUGCGUGCACUUCCAGCAGUUCUAUGAGGGAAAAAGCAAAGAAAGGUGCCUCAUGGCAUUGAAUGUUCUUAGGAAUGAGUUCUACGAUGUGCGCGACAGGCUACAGACCAUUAUGCAGUUGGAGAAGCAGAUUGCAACCUUGGGUCCUAAUUAAGUAGCAGUAAUCGAAGCCAAAAAAGCAUAGCCCCAUGUGAUCUGGAAUGAUAGGGUGUAUGUAUCCUUGAAUAUGUAGGCAGUUCAACGGUUGCUGGCUUUGGACAGGGCGCGUGGAAUCACAUGAAAAUUCUUGCUUCGGCACUCCGGGCUCGCAAGCACCCUGCAACUGGAAUUUUUCUCUUGUGUGUCAGUGUCUUUGUCUGUCAACUCCAUAUAUUUGUGUGUCAUGACUGGUCUGCGGCUGUGUGUAAACUCUAUACUUGGUUGGCUACUUUUUGUCUUGGUUUUUAUUGUAUGUU